AACGAACGCUGGCGGCAUGCCUAACACAUGCAAGUCGAACGAGACCUUCGGGUCUAUUGUCGCACGGGUUCGUAACGCGUGGGAACCUUCCCUUAUGUUCGGAAUAACUCCCCGAAAGGGGUGCUAAUACCGGAUAAUGGCUUCUGACCAAAGAUUUAUCGCCUUUGGAUGGGCCCGCGUUGGAUUAGCUAGUUGGUAGGGUAAAAGCAUACCAAGGCGACGAUCCAUAGCUGGUAUGAGAGGAUGAUCAGCCACACUGGGAGUGAGACACGGCCCAGAAUCCUACGGGAGGCAGCAGUGGGGAAUAUUGGAAAAUGGGCGAAAGCAUGAUCCAGCAAGGACGCGUGAGUGAUGAAGGCAUUAGGGUUGUAAAGCUCUUUUAACCGGGAUGAUAAUGACAGUACCGGGAGAAUAAGCUACGGCUAACUACGUG
rnacentral:rRNA from 1 species